GACGCGAAAAUCCAAAUAUAAAUUUAACAAACAUUUUUUCAAUAAGCUGAUCCGAAAGAUUUACGAAUAUAAAUAACCCACUUUGAUUAUUUUUCAAUCACCGUGUGAGUGGUCUCUGUUGUGGUGUCAGUUAUUCACCAGCGUGAAGCAUUCAUGACUCGAAAUAUUCAAGAAAUCUUCUUGUAAUUCCCGAGGUAAUUCCUAACAGAAGAUGCAGAAUAAUAGUGCAAUUUGAUUGAUUCGACGGCAGCUGGUGAUCGAGCUCCAGCAGAAACCCCAACAGAUAAAUAUUAUAAGCUGGUUAGGUUUCAACUAAUGUUUAUGUACAUUGUCAAAGAAUUCGGAUUCACAGCCAGCAGAAACAACUAAAUUAAUGGCAGCCGCCGAAAGGAUUGCGUCCCUCGAAAAACUGUGUAUCGACAAAUCUGCACUUUCCGGGAAUGGAAGGGACACAAAACAGAGGCAAGUUUGACAUCAUACAACUCUCUGGAAAAUCUCUUGCCGGGCUCGUCUGGAACCAGUUCUUCCAAAGUUGCUUAUCUUACUCAGAAUAUAUAAGUAAGCGCUUUCAAUGCUGUACGCCUGUGAAUUCAGAGAGACGGUCAACAUGUUCAAAUUGAUCCUCCAGGAGCCCAGCGAUCUAGUCAAGAAGGUGCAGAACUGAAAAGGUCAAAGAAGUCGUUCGCUGAACCGUAUCAAAUUGGUACAACCGUCGUCGAGGAAUAGAAGGAAGGCAAACCGCAAACGAAUUGGCCGAAUCAGGCGGACGGUCACCUGUGGUAGAACCAAGACAUGGUCGGCUAGUGUAUGUCCAGGAACCAAUUAAAAAAGGGAGACGCGACGAACUAGCCCGAAACUAAAGUAGUUUAAGCGGAUGUGUACUCCACCUUCGGUGGAAACUAAAGUGCUUCACUAAAUAAUAUCAAUUACCUAAUCGCAUUAGUGUUGUGAAUCAAACUGUUCAACCAAAUGGUCCAGCUGCAGGAAGUAGGCGAUAUUAGAAUGUAGGACCUGGAACUGUGGAUGAGGACAAGGAAAAUGAGAUGAGCUAGAAGGAUUCUGUUACAUAAUGCUGGAUAAACGCAAGUCACAUGAUAGAAAUGUUUAGCAUGGAGAACUCUAUUUUCAAGAUGAUCUAGUAUGUUCCACAGAUUAUUAAUUUAUUAAUUAAACGAUAUUUAUAUAUUUUUUCAA